GGACACGGCGGUUUAGGCGGAGGAGGCUUCAGAGGAGGUGGAGGCUUGGGACAAGGUGCAGGCUUCGGAGUAGGAUUUGGUAGUGGAGGUGGUCUUGGAGGUGGAUCACGAGGAUCUAAGGGCGGCGGUAGCUAUGGGAAACCUUGCAACUCCUGUGGAGGAGGAAGCCAUGGAUGGUAAUGUUGAACUUAGCAGAUGGAAACAGAGAAAACUCUUCAUCAUCGUAUCCAUAUCUUCACAUUUUUUAUUAUUAUUAUCAAAAAUAAAAACAAACUUAUCCUUC